rnacentral:rRNA from 1 species
UACGUAGGGCGCGAGCGUUAAUCGGAAUUACUGGGCGUAAAGCGUGCGCAGGCGGUUUUGUAAGACAGGGGUGAAAUCCCCGGGCUCAACCUGGGAAUGGCGCUUGUGACUGCAAGGCUGGAGUGCGGCAGAGGGGGAUGGAAUUCCGCGUGUAGCAGUGAAAUGCGUAGAUAUGCGGAGGAACCCCGAUGGCGAAGGCAAUCCCCUGGGCCUGCACUGACGCUCAUGCAAGAAAGCGUGGGGAGCAAACAGG